rnacentral:rRNA from 1 species
GACGAACGCUGGCGGCGUGCUUAACACAUGCAAGUCGAACGGAAAGGCCCUGCUUUUGUGGGGUGCUCGAGUGGCGAACGGGUGAGUAACACGUGAGUAACCUGCCCCUGACUUUGGGAUAACUUCAGGAAACUGGGGCUAAUACCGGAUAGGAGCUCCUGCUGCAUGGUGGGGGUUGGAAAGUUUCGGCGGUUGGGGAUGGACUCGCGGCUUAUCAGCUUGUUGGUGGGGUAGUGGCUUACCAAGGCUUUGACGGGUAGCCGGCCUGAGAGGGUGACCGGGCACAUUGGGACUGAGAUACGGCCCAGACUCCUACGGGAGGCAGCAGUGGGGAAUAUUGCACAAUGGGCGGAAGCCUGAUGCAGCAACGCCGCGUGCGGGAUGACGGCCUUCGGGUUGUAAACCGCUUUCGCCUGUGACGAAGCGUGAGUGGCGGUAAUGGGUAAAGAAGCACCGGCUAACUACGUG